GGCGUCAUAGCUCAGUUGGGAGAGCAGCAGACUGAAGAAAAUCUAGGAAUCUGAAGGUCCCGUGUUCAAGCCACGGUGAUGCCA